GAGGCAGCAGUGAGGAAUAUUGGUCAAUGGCCGCAGGGCUGAACCAGCCAAGUCGCGUGAGGGAUGACGGUCCUAUGGAUUGUAAACCUCUUUUGUCAGGGAGCAAAGGGCGCCACGUGUGGCGCUUUGCGAGUACCUGAAGAAAAAGCAUCGGCUAACUCCGUGCCAGCAGCCGCGGUAAUACGGAGGAUGCGAGCGUUAUCCGGAUUUAUUGGGUUUAAAGGGUGCGCAGGCGGAAUGUCAAGUCAGCGGUAAAAUUUCGGGGCUCAACCCCGUCGUGCCGUUGAAACUGGCGUUCUUGAGUGAGCGAGAAGUAUGCGGAAUGCGUGGUGUAGCGGUGAAAUGCAUAGAUAUCACGCAGAACUCCGAUUGCGAAGGCAGCAUACCGGCGCUCAACUGACGCUCAUGCACGAAAGCGUGGGUAUCGAACAGGAUUAGAUACCCUGGUAGUCCACGCAGUAAACGAUGAAUACUAACUGUCCGGGCAGAAUGAUGCCUGG
rnacentral:rRNA from 1 species